GAUGAACGCUGGCGGCGUGCCUAACACAUGCAAGUCGAACGGAGUUACGAGAGCUUGCUUUUGUAACUUAGUGGCGAACGGGUGAGUAAUGCGUGAGCAACCUGCCCUUCAGAGGGGGACAACAGUUGGAAACGGCUGCUAAUACCGCAUAAUGUAUUUAGGAGGCAUCUCCUGGAUACCAAAGGNGAAAUCCGCUGAAGGAUGGGCUCACGUCUGAUUAGCUAGUUGGUGAGGUAACGGCUCACCAAGGCUGCGAUCAGUAGCCGGACUGAGAGGUUGAACGGCCACAUUGGGACUGAGAUACGGCCCAGACUCCUACGGGAGGCAGCAGUGGGAAUAUUGGGCAAUGGGCGAAAGCCGUGACCCAGCAACGCCGCGUGAA
rnacentral:rRNA from 1 species